rnacentral:lncRNA from 1 species
CUUUGUUUAAACUGCUUUUGCAUCUUCCAUCUCACCCUCUCUGUGUUCCAUCAAGGUUUCCUCAUGUGGUUCUCUCAUGGGCUCCUCUGUGCUCUCUGCCCACAGCCUCCUGGAGGUGCCAUACUGACUGCAGGGCUCGAGCCAUUUAAAGUUUCUCUGAAAUAGAAAUGCAGAUGGGAAACCAAGCAGCUGGGGCUUACUGAGGAGUCAGGGAGUCUGUUGCAGGUAAUGGAUUCACAGUUCCCAAACACCAGUCCAGCACCACUGCCAUAAUACCCUCUUCUUCAUGCAGUUCAGAUGAAAAAUACAGAUGAUAAAUUGUACUCCUACAUACCAAGGGAUGGUGGGGGUCCUCAGAGACCGAGCGUUU